GAAUCUGGCACUUCCCGCUCCGUCCUCCUGAUGUACACACGUUGUUGCUCUUCAGGUGGUCGUCCCCGCGGCUGACAUGAGUCAACUGACGGAGUGCGGUGAUGACCUACAGUCCCUGGUGGUGCCGGACAUCAAGGCAAAACACAACACCAUCAACACAACUUGCUGGUGACUACAGAUACUUAUCUUGCAGCACUACGGAGGCUCAGUGACGGUAAACAAGACAAUGUUUGUGUAUUGCUUCACCAAGCACUGUGAUGCAGCGAGGGACUUCCUCAUGUCUGUCAGCCGCGACUCCUACCAUGUCAGCCGCGACUGUCACCCUUGAUCAACCUUACAAGAACAACACAAUUACAUGUGACUAAAACUGUGACAUAUGUGACCAUGUGAAUAUGACUAUGUGCCAUAAUAUGUGACAACGUGACAGACUGUGUGAUAUGUGACUACGUGACAGACUGUGUGACAUGUGACCACAUGAUAGAAUGUGUGACAUAUGUGACUACAUGAUAGACUGUGUCAUGACCACGUGACACUGUGACAUAUGACCACGUGACACACUGUGACAUGACCACGUAACAGACUGUGUGCCAUGUGAACACGUGACAGACUGUGUAACAUGACCACGUCACAGACUGUGUGACAUGACCACGCCACAGACUAUCCCAUAUGUGACCACGUGACACUGUGAUAUGUGACCACGUGACAGACUGUGUGCCAUAUGACCACGUGACAGACUGUGUGACAUUACCACGUGGCAUACUGUGUGACAUGACGUGACAGACUGUGCCAUAUGUGACCACGUGACAGACUGUGUGCCAUAUGAUCACGUGACAGACUGACAUAUUUGACCACGUGACAGACUGUGACAUGUGACCACGUGAUCGAGACAGAGUGAUACAUAUAAGAGACUUUGUAACAUGUGAUUGUAGGAGCCUGUAUUAUACAUAUGUGUGUGUGUUAAGGCUGGCAUAUAUGACCAUUACACCUGACUGUGAAAAGCGUGAGCAAGACACCGUGACACAUGUGACUACCUCACGACUGGGACACAUGAUGAACGACUAUGAGAGUGAGACACGGGUGACUAUGAAACAGUAGGACACAUACGACUGAGACUGACACAGGGGACUAUGACACAUACCACUACAUGACAGUAUGACACAGGGGACUAUGAUACAAACUACUACAUGACAGUAUGACACACGGGACUAUGACACAAACCACUACAUGACAGUAUGACACACGGGACUAUGACACAAACCACUACAUGACAGUAUGACACACGGGACUGACACAAACCACUACAUGACAGUAUGACACACGGGACUAUGACACAAACCACUACAUGACA